rnacentral:rRNA from 1 species
AUGAACGCUGGCGGCGUGCCUAAUACAUGCAAGUCGAGCGAACAGACGAGGAGCUUGCUCCUCUGACGUUAGCGGCGGACGGGUGAGUAACACGUGGAUAACCUACCUAUAAGACUGGGAUAACUUCGGGAAACCGGAGCUAAUACCGGAUAAUAUAUUGAACCGCAUGGUUCAAUAGUGAAAGACGGUUUUGCUGUCACUUAUAGAUGGAUCCGCGCCGCAUUAGCUAGUUGGUAAGGUAACGGCUUACCAAGGCGACGAUGCGUAGCCGACCUGAGAGGGUGAUCGGCCACACUGGAACUGAGACACGGUCCAGACUCCUACGGGAGGCAGCAGUAGGGAAUCUUCCGCAAUGGGCGAAAGCCUGACGGAGCAACGCCGCGUGAGUGAUGAAGGUCUUCGGAUCGUAAAACUCUGUUAUUAGGGAAGAACAAAUGUGUAAGUAACUAUGCACGUCUUGACGGUACCUAAUCAGAAAGUCACGGCUAACUACGU